GCCCGACUAGCUCAUCGGUAGAGCGCCUCACUAGUAACUUACUGAUAUGAGGAGGCAACAGGUUCGAUUCCUGUGUUGGGCA
rnacentral:tRNA from 1 species